GAUGAACGCUGGCGGCGUGCCUAAUACAUGCAAGUCGAGCGAACGGACGAGAAGCUUGCUUUUCUGAUGUUAGCGGCGGACGGGUGAGUAACACGUGGAUAACCUACCUAUAAGACUGGGAUAACUUCGGGAAACCGGAGCUAAUACCGGAUAAUAUUUUGAACCGCAUGGUUCAAAAGUGAAAGACGGUCUUGCUGUCACUUAUAGAUGGAUCCGCGCUGCAUUAGCUAGUUGGUAAGGUAACGGCUUACCAAGGCAACGAUGCAUAGCCGACCUGAGAGGGUGAUCGGCCACACUGGAACUGAGACACGGUCCAGACUCCUACGGGAGGCAGCAGUAGGGAAUCUUCCGCAAUGGGCGAAAGCCUGACGGAGCAACGCCGCGUGAGUAAUGAAGGUCUUCGGAUCGUAAAACUCUGUUAUUAGGGAAGAACAUAUGUGUAAGUAUCUGUGCACAUCUUGACGGUACCUAAUCAGAAAGCCACGGCUAACUACGUG
rnacentral:rRNA from 1 species